UUAGUGUGUAGAAGGGCUGUG
rnacentral:piRNA from 1 species